rnacentral:rRNA from 1 species
GAUGAACGCUGGCGGCGUGCCUAAUGCAUGCAAGUCGAGCGAACGGACGAGAAGCUUGCUUCUCUGAUGUUAGCGGCGGACGGGUGAGUAACACGUGGAUAACCUACCUAUAGGACUGGGAUAACUUCGGGAAACCGGAGCUAAUACCGGAUAAUAUUUUGAACCGCAUGGUUCAAAAGUGAAAGACGGUCUUGCUGUCACUUAUAGAUGGAUCCGCGCUGCAUUAGCUAGUUGGUAAGGUAACGGCUUACCAAGGCAACGAUGCAUAGCCGACCUGAGAGGGUGAUCGGCCACACUGGAACUGAGACACGGUCCAGACUCCUACGGGAGGCAGCAGUAGGGAAUCUUCCGCAAUGGGCGAAAGCCUGACGGAGCAACGCCGCGUGAGUGAUGAAGGUCUUCGGAUCGUAAAACUCUGUUAUUAGGGAAGAACAUAUGUGUAAGUAACUGUGCACAUCUUGACGGUACCUAAUCAGAAAGCCACGGCUAACUACGUG